AGCUAUCCAGGGUCCCCCUUUCUUUUUGAUGAGCAAUAGAGGUUUGUAUUUCACAGAGCUCAUCCAUUUACUCUAAGUUCGCACACUUCCUGGCUUAGAGUUGCUCCUGAUAGUCCCUGAUUGCCCUUCUGCGCUGGACUCUGCGAUGCCCCUUCUUCCACUCCCAGUGUCACUGAUCUGUGACUUUCACUGUGGUGACCCCAUGAUCCAUGUGGCUCCUCGGUCGGUCUCUAUGGCCCAGUUUUCUCCGUGUUGUGGUCCCUACCCUUCCUCCCUGUGUGCUGAGGACCCUGCCCUGGUGACAGGCACUGUGGCUCUGACCUGCAGGGAGCUGGUUUUCCCUGGACUCUGGGCCGUGUCCUGUGUGCAGGUUUCCUGGGAGCAGCGAGCCUUGCGCUUCCUUUCAGCCUUGCCCAGUGGGACCAGGGCAGCGUGGAAUCCGGGGGCAGCAGCAUGCUGCAUCAGCGGCACGGGCCUCGUCUGGCAAUCGACGCCCUGCAAAGGAGGGUGUUUUCAAGCUCGAGCUUUGGGAGCAGGGGUUCAUGUCUGGUGUGAGGCCUGGUAACAUUUCUCUCCCACCUUGGGGGGUGACUUCCUCGGCGCUGGGCGGCUCCCCAUGCCCCAUGCUGGCUGAGGUCCAGGAAGAGGCAUAUUUAAUGACUUCGAGAACAAGAAUGGAGCAGCUGUUGGCACCACUUCCACAGCACACCGGGAUCCCAGUCGGGCAAGAAGUCCAAAGUAUGAGAGUUGGUACCGUGAAAAAAGGCUGUUUCCAAACAUGAGUUUGUACGUAGGAAACACCUACAGGAAGCUGUUGGAAUUAGCAGGAUGUGAAAAUCGCUCGGGAUAAGGGAAGAGAUUGGCCGGUCUGACUCAGACCAAUAACUUCUGUGCAAGCAAGGACAUCUGUGAGGCCCAGAAGCACUGUUUGCUGCACACCACUUACAGCUCUGCACUGGAGCAGAAAGCACUCACACGAGACCCCCAAAGCAAACACACAGCAGAAGACGAGCCAGUCUGCAUGUGAGCAGGACCUGGGCCACACUCCCCAGAGCACCUGAACAACUGCUCAGCACAACCCGCCAGGGAGAUGCAAACUAAACCAUGAAGAAAGAUCCCCGACCCAUCAGCCAGCACGCCGGGCUGGCACAGUGGGCGUGGCUCAGACCCAGAGCAGCACAAAGGUACCCUGCCCGAGCAGGGAUCGAACUCAGGACCUUGUGCUUUCAAGGAAGGCGGCAGAACCACUGAGCUAAAUCCCCAGCCCUCAGAAAAGCAUAUCUCAAGGAAACCGGGCCAACCACGAGGAGGAACUGACGGGUCCUCGCCAAGAGUGGCACCCCAGGGAUCAACUACCUCCUGCCAGGCCCUGCCUCCGGGCUCCCCCACAUCAGCGUAGCCACACGGGCCAGCACAGGGAGCUGAGGACACACUCGGGCCACACUGAGGCCACAGCAGUUCCCUCACUGGACAAGAUGCCAGGCACUAAGGACGCUGUGUCCAGUGGCAAAGGGCACUGCAAGGCCACGCUGUGACAUGCAGACAUGGUGCAGGACACAGCCGUGCGGGUCCUAAUCAGACAUCUGCAGGCAGCUGGGCUGGGCAGAGCUCACAGGGACAGGGGC
rnacentral:lncRNA from 1 species